AUGAGCAUAGGUAAAUACAUACCCGAAGAACUCAUCAGUGAAGUACUCUACCGCCUCCCUGUAAAGUCGAUUGGGCGGUCUAGAUGCCUAACAAAGCACUGGCUCAAUUUUCUCUUAGACCCACAAUUCAUCAAACUUCACUUCAACCUCCACAAGAAGAGAAACUCAUUAUCCUCACUUGGCAUAGAAGACUUCAUACUAUCAUGCUUAUCCACGAUAUCUUCGAAGAUGAAUUCAUCAAUAGCAUUUCAACAAAGUUAAUGGGGCUUUGCAUUGGUUGGCUUGUUGAACUUUUGAAUAUUCAACUGCAAUUGCGGCUUUUGAUUAAGUGUAGAUAAAUUCUUGGAGGUACCAGGACCUAUUGAUCUUCAGGAUAAUUGCUUUUUGUGUAAUCUUGUAACUCUUAAAGGCUGUCUCUGUAUAUCUACCUGUUUAUCCGAGAGAUAAACACAAUUACAUAUUGAUGAUGUUUUAUUGGAAGUAGAUGAAGAAUGAAUUUUCUACAAUCUGAGAGAGAAAGGAUCUGUUGUUUGAUGUAAAUCCUGUUACGUAUGAAGCUCGAACUUUUGUUGACAGCCUUGUCUCUCCUUACUUUGGCAACUGAGGUUCAUGUACUGUGUGAUGCACAAGAUGAUUAUGUAUACAGGAACUAUAACUAAAAGCAUAAAAAAUAAAGGUUAAACUGGGACUUGCUUUGUACUAUAUUAAGUUAUUUUCACUUGUCAUUGGAAGGAAGGCCCCUCAUUGUCACUCUAGCAACUGGUAUUUGUCUUAUAAUAGCAAUCUGUAGUUGAUCUUUGGUGCUUGUCUUGAAGAAAUAUGAAGGUAAAACUGUUGGGUAGAUUCUCUAAAAUACAGGGACAAAUUAUGUAGUUUACCUCCUUUAAUGUAUAAUUAUAUAUGUCAACAAAAACUCUUUAGAUCGAUAUUGGGUAGUAGUUAUUACUUAGGAAGGUAGUCAUAAAGAAAAAGUGGAAAACCUGUUUGUUAGCGGUUCUUGUGAUUUUAAACAUGAAAUGUGAAAAUUAUAAACUAAGUGUUGUAAGAAGACAUUCUUUUUUAAAUGGAACAAAAAAAGUAAGACAAAGUAAUCCAAAAAAUAAAGUACCAAAAAAAAGCUUAUUCCAUUCAAUGAUGAGAUACUGAAAGAUAAAAUUAAGAUCAAAACUUAAUCAUCGAUAUGACAUACUUACCUCUAUAAAUACAAAAUUAAAUUAUUGAACUUUAAAUAAAGAAAGAAAAAGUUAUUCACUGGAUCAAGAUGACCCUUCGCCGGAAUUGGACGAAGUGCUUUCCCUAGCUCUUAAAGGAGUGAGUGCACUUCCAAUGGUUUGAUAUGGGAAUUCAAUACCACUCCAUAAGUUGGCUUGCUAGUUUUUCAACUUUUUUAUCCACAACCUCCAAGGACUCGCACAAGAUCUUAAGGGCAAAAAAUCUAUGUUUUUCAUUUGAAGGUUCUGUCCUUAAUGCUUGAAGUGCUUGCCCGUGUUUUCUUUCUCUUUCAAGUGAUCUCUCCAGCUUGUUCAGUUUUUUAUUGAUCUCAUCAAUAUUGGCAUUUUGAUGAGCUACAAUGAUGCGGUUAGGAUCAUCAGUUUCUGGUGGAGGAUUCUCUUUGACAAAUUUAUCCAUAAUUUACUCGACGGUAGGGUGUCCAAAUGCAUAUACUUUGUUGCUGGGAGAAAAAGCUACAACAGCAACAUUAGCACCGCACAAAGUCGAGAGCUCACUUGCCUUUAUAAAUAGGCCAGCACGUCUUUUUGAGAAUAUUACUUGUAAGAUGGUUUGAUUUUUCAUCUUCACAAUUUCAAUUUUUUGCGGCCAUUAGGUUUUCUCAUGUCUAAGAUUUUUAUUUGAGAAUGUAAAAAAAAUUGAUGUUGAGUCUUUGU